ACGAACGCUGGCGGCAUGCCUAACACAUGCAAGUCGAACGAGACCUUCGGGUCUAGUGGCGCACGGGUGCGUCACGCGUGGGAACCUGCCCUUAGGUUCGGAAUAACUCCCCGAAAGGGGUGCUAAUACCGGAUAAUGUCUUCGGACCAAAGAUUUAUCGCCUUUGGAUGGGCCCGCGUUGGAUUAGCUAGUUGGUAGGGUAAAAGCCUACCAAGGCGACGAUCCAUAGCUGGUCUGAGAGGAUGAUCAGCCACACUGGGACUGAGACACGGCCCAGACUCCUACGGGAGGCAGCAGUGGGGAAUAUUGGACAAUGGGCGAAAGCCUGAUCCAGCAAUGCCGCGUGAGUGAUGAAGGCCUUAGGGUUGUAAAGCUCUUUUACCCGGGAUGAUAAUGACAGUACCGGGAGAAUAAGCUUCGGCUAACUCCGUG
rnacentral:rRNA from 1 species